GGAGACGUGGGUGGCGUCCAUGGGGAAGAGCCGGGAGAGCCCAAAGUCGGCGACUUUGACGUGGAAGUUGGCGUCAAGGAGGAUGUUGUUGGUCUUGACGUCGCGGUGUAUGAUCUGGGGCUCGACGGCGUGGAGGUAGGCGAGGGCGGUGGCGGUCUCGAGGGCUAUGCGGAGGCGGAGGGGCCAGGAGAGGACGCCGAGGUGGGCGAGAUGGCCGUGGAGGUGGUCGGCGACGGUGCCGUUCGGGACGAACUCGUAGACAAGGAGGAGCUCGCGGCUGUGCCGGGAGGUGCAGCCGUAGAGGCUCACCAGGUUGUUGUGGCGGAGCCGGUUGAGGAUCUCCACCUCGUUCAUGAACUGCUCCACGCGCUUGAAGUUGUUUUCGUACAGCCGCUUCA
rnacentral:lncRNA from 1 species